CACCUCUCAGGGUUGCACCUGGAGAGUUUCCGGGACUCUACCAGUCUCGACUACGGGAGGGAGGGACAGGCAGAGGUGUACCCAUUCCAUUCCUAGCUUGGCCAACGGCUAGUAAAUUGAAGCCAAUCUGCUCUAAGU